GCCCACCCGCGCUGAGACGCGCGAGGAGCGCAUGGAGCGCAAGCGGCGGGAGAAAAUCGAGCGGAGGCAGCAGGAGGUGGAGUCUGAGCUCAAGCUGUGGGACCCCCACAAUGACCCCAACGCUCAAGGAGAUGCCUUCAAAACCCUGUUUGUGGCCAGAGUG